ensembl:lncRNA
GGGUUUUGUCCCCUUCUUUUUAAGUCACAAUUUUAGCCUAGAUUUAGUCGAAAGGCACUUUUAUUCCGAGCGCUUUAAUCUUUUGUUAAAACCCAACCUCAGUUGCCCAGCUAUAACAUCUAUCAAGUUAGCAUUUCAAAAUAUGUAAAGGAAACGACUGAAGUGUGACGCAUGCGCGUAGCAAUGCUUUAACUUUUGUUGUCUUAAAGUGUUUACAAUCCAAAAUGCUUGAAAUCAUUGUCCUCCUUUAUCCAUCAAAUAUAAACGUUCCCACGUGUUUACGCCAACAUGGAGUUUUAUGUUGGUGUCGAUGUUUCAGUGACUGAGCAGCGUCUGUCCGUCCAGUAUAUUUACUGACGUAGCCGCACAUCAGCAUGACCCAGCUGAGCAGCGUGCUCCGUUUAGCCUCGUUUGUCUUAUUCCUCUCAUUUGUUUUUCACCGUCAAACAUAACUGGACAGAAGGCCUGGUGUUCUGUUGCUGAAGUGGGCUUCAGAUAGUGUUUUUCUGUGGAACAUCAAGGCUGUCAUGUAGUAUUAAUUUGGCUAUUCAAAGCAAAUAAUGUACAUGCUUAUACAAAAUAUAAGCCUUUUGUAUAGUGUGUUAUAAUUGUGCCUUCCAACAAUUGAAAGUGUGUUUAUGUGUUGUCUCUUUGGCUGCUAUGUUUUAGUGUUAUAAUAAGACUCACCUUGGAGGAAACAAUAACAUGCUGUCCUAAUAUUGCUUUAUGUACAGAGAGUAAUUAAUAAAAGUAUGUUAAAAAAGGAAAUGAUGUCACUCUAACAGUGUAGCCAUCAGAAGGCAUAUAAGCUUUCCUAUAUGACACUCUGUUUUUUAAAUGCCUAAUACUACUAUAUCUAAAACGGGUGAAACGUUGUGAUGCUCCAUGUUUUUUUUUUGUUUUACUUUAAAUUUGAUAGAGUUGUAGGUCACAAUUUUUACAGCAGGUUCACCUGCAUGAGCGCUCACUGCUAAGACACCUGUAUAUUUAUUGAGGUGAGCUACUGUAAAUGAAUGGGUAAUGGGCUGCAUCAAAACUGUUGGUGCACUUUUACUGUAUCACCUCCAAGUCAUUAUUGACUGUAACUGGAUUAUUUAACUGUAACUGAGAAGUAACUUUGACUUUUGUCUUUGGUAUUAGGUGAAGGAAGCCACGGCAGCAAGCCAAAUACAGAUGGCUAAUAUUUGACAUAGCAGCUACUCCGUGUCCCCCAGAGAAAUGAAAAAGGAGGAGGCAGUGAGAUGGAUGAAGGUGGAAGUUCUGAGCAUUUCUCCUCUCAAAAGAGACCGGAGCCCACCAGUGAAGAGAGUUCAGAUGUAGAUGAAGAGAGCAAGGAAGCAAGACUGGCUUUGAGGAAAAGGCGAAAAACCAAAGUGGCCAAAGCAAAGG